GGUCCUGUGUAGCGCCAUUGGUCGAGCACGACAUUCACACUGCCAGGGUUAAGGGUUCGAUUCCCACCGCGACCA